rnacentral:rRNA from 1 species
GCCCAGGCAGGCGUGCCCUCGGCCAGAAGGCCUCGGGCGCAACUUGCGUUCAAAGACUCGAUGGUUCGCGGGAUUMUGCAAUUCACACCAGGUAUCGCAUUUCGSUACGUUCUUCAUCGAUGCGAGAGCCGAGAUAUCCGUUGCCGAGAGUCGUGUGGAUUAUAUAGCAUUGCAACCCAGGGUGCAGCCAGCAAGCCAGCUGCGUCCCCGGGUUAGGCACAGUGUUCCUUGACGCCUUCGGCGCCGUGGGUUCUUUUACCCCGAGCC